AACAUAAUUAAAAGUUACUUGUCUACUUUGUUAUUGACUUGAUUAGGAUUAACAGAAAAUAUGAUUUGGUUCACAUCUAUAUAUACAUUUUUGCAGUCAUUUUGUGAAAUAAAUCCUGUAGUUGAGACUUAUUUACAAUGGUUGCCACUGGAUUUUAAUAUUUGUUUUUGAUAAUUAGAAAAAAAAUCUUCGAAUUAAAUAUUUGACAUUUAACAAUUUUCCUAAAAUCUCUCUACAUUAACUACACGAUUGGUUACUAAAAUAAAACUUUCAAAAUAUUUAAUAUCAUUUAAUUACUACAAAAUUAUCAUUAUUGAUAUUGUUUUUCUGCAUGACUAUUACAAUUCAAUUAUAAUCAUCAAACCGCAGAGAUAUUUGAUAGCAUUUAAUUACUAGAUAAUUUUAAAAAUAAAUGAUUCAUAAACAUAUGAUAAAUAAGAUCAACAUUAAUAAAAUAAAUGAGUUUUUUUUACGGGACGGGUUGGCAGGACGGGUUUGGCAGGACGUUACUUAAUAACAAUUCUAAACUAUAAAAUAAAAAUAUUUUAUAGAUAGUUACAUAGAUAGUUACAAAUUACAAACUUUUAUAUAUAUUAAUUUUAAAGUAUAAAUUGUCCCCGCGGUAUACCGCGGGUGAAGAUCUAGUUGAUCA
rnacentral:sRNA from 1 species